CGGAAAAAGGCAAGUUCCUGGUGCAAAGGUUGCUCUGCAGCAUAAUUUAGGCAUCGGAGGAGCAGUAGUGGUCACGCUGUACAAGAUGGGUUUUCCUGAAGCUGCUAGUUCUUUUAGAACUCAUCAAAUGGAGGCUGCUCCAACCAGCUCUGCAGUUGAUGGAUUUAAGGCAAAUCUUGUCUUUAAGGAGAUUGAGAAGAAGCUUGAAGAGGAAGGGGAGCAGUGUGUGAAGAAAAUUGGUGGUAUUUUUGCCUUCAAGGUGAAGGAUGGCCCUGGAGGUAAAGAAGCCACCAGGGUGGUGGAUGUGAAGAAUGGCAAAGGAUCAGGGCUCCCUAACUCAGAUAAGAAGGGCGACUGCACAAUUGCAAUGGCUGACUCAGACUUACUGGCUUUGAUGACUGGUAAAAUGAAUCCUCAGUCGGCCUUCUUUCAAGGUAAAUUGAAAAUCACUGGCAACAUGGGUCUGGCUAUGAAGUUACAAAAUCAUCUUCAGCCAGGCAAAGCUAAGCUGUGA